rnacentral:misc_RNA from 1 species
GUACCCUCAAGCUUUGCUUGGUGUUGGGUGUUUGUCCUCUCCCCGCGUUAGGACUCGCCUUAAAUCUAUUGGCAGCCGAUAUAAUGGUUUGAAGCGCAGCACAAGUCGCGGUUCAGGCCACUUAUGUGGGCAUCCAGUAAGCACAAUAACAC